GCCAGCAUGGUGUAGUGGUUUGAGCAUUGGACUAUGACUCUGGAAAUCAGGGUUCAAAUCCCAGCUCAGCCA